rnacentral:rRNA from 1 species
CAUGACCUCAGAUCAGAC